UACGGGGGGAGCAAGCGUUGUUCGGAUUUACUGGGCGUAAAGGGCGCGUAGGCGGCCUGUGCAAGUCAGUUGUGAAAUCUCCGAGCUUAACUCGGAACGGUCAACUGAUACUGCUCGGCUAGAGUGCGGAAGGGGCAACUGGAAUUCUCGGUGUAGCGGUGAAAUGCGUAGAUAUCGAGAGGAACACCUGCGGCGAAGGCGGGUUGCUGGGCUGACACUGACGCUGAGGCGCGAAAGCGUGGGGAGCGAACAGG
rnacentral:rRNA from 1 species